GAUGAACGCUGGCGGCGUGCCUAAUACAUGCAAGUCGAGCGAAGCGGGGACGGGUGAGUAACACGUGGAUAACCUCCUAUAAGACUGGGAUAACUUCGGGAAACCGGAGCUAAACCGGAUACUUAUCGAUGGAUCCGCGCUGCAUUAGCUAGUUGGUAAGGUAACGGCUUACCAAGGCAACGAGGCAUAGCCUAACUGAGAGGGUGAUCGGCCACACGGGAACUGAGACACGGUCCAGACUCAUAGGGGAGGCAGCAGGAGGGAAUCUUCCGCAAUGGGCGAAAGCCUGACGGAGCAACGCCGGGUGAGUGAUGAAGGUCUUCGGAUCGUAAAACGCUGUGAUUAGGGAAGCGGUACCUAAUCAGAAAGCCACGGCUAACUACGUGCCAGCAGCGGGGGUAUAC
rnacentral:rRNA from 1 species